rnacentral:lncRNA from 1 species
AGAUCUCUCUCUCUGCGGAAGCCAGCCACCGCUCUCCAAGGACUCUCGAGCAGCUCCAUCUACAGAUUCACAUGGAGAAGAAUUAAGGGUUCCUGCCAAUCACCAGCACCACUUUGCCAGCCUUGUAAGUGGGCCACCUUGGAAUUGGAGCCUCCAGUUCCUACUGACAUCUGACUGCAACAUCAUGAGAGACCCUGAGUUUGAACCACCCAGCUGAGCUGCUUCUGAGCUAACCCACUGAAACCACAGUUGGCAUCUGUGUGAAGAUGUGAAUGGAGGAGGCAGAGUAGGCAGUGAGUGCCGCAGCCACAGCUUGUGUUCUCUGCAGCCCUGGCACAGAAGAUAGGAACACUCAUGGGGGAUGCGGCCACUGUGAUGUCUUCCCACACAAGAAGUGCCAAGUGCUUUUCUCAUGCUUUUCUGGAUUGUCCCAUGGUGGACGAGUCAGCAGGAGUGAGAUGGAGCAGCACAGUAGAGGGGCCAGGAUAUCGUUGUACAUAUUCUCAGCUAAGUGAGCACCAAUAGAGGAGAGGGAGAGUCUCAUGGAAGUUCCUUCUAAGCCUUUGGCUCUUUUUACCUUCAACAAGGUUCCUUAGAUCCUGGGAUGAGGAGGUGGACCAGCAGAAGGUGGGCUUGUGAAGGCAGCCCGGGGUCCAAAUCCUCCUGGCUCUUCAGCUUAGCGGGUUAGUUAACAUUCAGAAGCCUUCAUCUCCCAUCUGCAAAAUGGGCAUGUCCAACUCAGAAGCUGCCUUGAAGAAAGGGUCUACCCAGCAUGGUGCGUGGAGCCUAAGCAGUCAGUACUUCAGGACUUCACCCGGCCCCUUUCCAAUAACUGCUGCUGUCGCCCUCACAGGAUGUCACCUUCAGCGUCUGAAAGCUGGGUUUGAUGCGUCUGGAAAGGCGUCCCUGACAGGCGUCGUUGCCAGGAGCCCCUAGUGCCACCAGCAGCCAGCAGGGGAGGGCGUCCUCUGCCCGCUCACUUCUGACCCUUCUCUCGUUGCACCCGGAACAUGGUGCAGCUGGGAGCAGCCUGGGCUGCGCGGAAGGCUCAGAUUUGGGGACGGCCCUUGCCAGUGACUGUGAGCUGGGGUGUCUUGGAAACUCCCAGUCUCAGCUUCUCCAUUUAUAAGAUGAGAAUGAUCAUACCAGACUCAGGCAAGGUUGUUUGUGCAUUAGUGAAAUCAGACGUAUUAAAUAAAGUACCACAUUGAUCGUGGAGUUGUUGAAUAACCAAGAA